GACGAACGCUGGCGGCGUGCUUAACACAUGCAAGUCGAACGGAAAGGCCCCUUUGGGGGUACUCGAGUGGCGAACGGGUGAGUAACACGUGAGUAACCUCCCCUUGACUUCGGGAUAACUUCAGGAAACUGGGGCUAAUACCGGAUAGGAAUCCUUGCUGCAUGGUGGGGGUUGGAAAGCUUCGGCGGUUUUGGAUGGACUCGCGGCUUAUCAGCUUGUUGGUGGGGUAGUGGCUUACCAAGGCUUUGACGGGUAGCCGGCCUGAGAGGGCGACCGGCCACAUUGGGACUGAGAUACGGCCCAGACUCCUACGGGAGGCAGCAGUGGGGAAUAUUGCACAAUGGGCGGAAGCCUGAUGCAGCAACGCCGCGUGCGGGAUGACGGCCUUCGGGUUGUAAACCGCUUUCAGCAGGGGCGAAGCUUGUGGUGACGGUACCUGCAGAAGAAGCACCGGCUAACUACGUG
rnacentral:rRNA from 1 species